rnacentral:pre_miRNA from 1 species
GGCGAGUUUGCUUCUGGUGCAUGUUCAUUACUAAUCAUGACUAGAUCCAUACUCGUCUG